CAGCUGACCAGCAACCACAAUGGUCAGGCAGUCAGACAGCAGCUGCAACACAACAAGCAUCAGAAAACAUCAGCAACAUGAAAGACUCCCCAUUGUAAACUGACAUCAGCUGAUAGUGUUACAUGAUGCUUCUAAAUUGUGUAUCGGUGGACACACUGAGUCAUUUAUAAACCUGUCCAUCAACGGUCAAAAGUGAUGAGGUUUGUGGUGGGAAUGGGUGCACUCUGAGAUAGUCAGUCUGACGCUUACUUCACCUUCCUCGAAUUGAUGAAUAGGUCCAAUAUUCUGAUAGGCUUUGUAGUCAUUGAUUAGUCUCCCUCAUUUUAGCUUAUUGCUGAUCAGUUUGUGUCUGGUUGUCAGGUUUCGCCGCUCCUUGGUCACCAGUGUUGCCCAGGAGACCUGGCAGUUCCUGGCCGUCUUUGUCUCUGCACUGGUAAACCCCAUGCUGGAGAAGCAUCGCAUUUCAAGGACGUGCAACAGUAAGUAACUUCUUUUCGAUCCUUUGCCGACAUGCAAACAUAAUCUUAGGGGAAUGGUGAUUUCGAGGAGAACUUAUUUUAGAGUGGUGUAGCCGAAUAAACACUGUUUAAAAUAACAACGAUAUAACUUUGUAACAUGAGUGAACGGUAGGGUACCUGAAAGACCCAUGUUCAGUUUGUGUUAAUUGGUUCGUGGUCAUUUGAUUUGUUUGGGAAUAUUCACCACUAAAGCAACCUUUCAACUGAAGGAGGACUGGGGUAAGGCAUUCCUGUCUUGUAGAGGGGCCCUGUGUCAUAAUGUACAUGGUACAUAUUCCUAAAUAAAUUUGGGUUUGACUAAAUUUACACACAGAGGGGCCCAAUAGGGCCCCACAGAUACAGCAUUUCUCCACCGGGCCCCCUAGCGGGUUAAUUUGGUCAUGUUGGUGUGUGUGAAAUCAGUAGGAGAUUCAAACUAUGGCGUUUUUAUUUUUUUCAUUAAAGGGACUACAUGGCCUCCAUACAUGUGUGUAUGAUAACUCUUCAUAGUAUUUGUUAUAUUUGUUUUAAAACUAGCAAUGAGGAAAGUCAAGGCUGUAGACAAGAACCUCUACAGCGUAAGCAGAAUCAUUUCUGUUGCCAUGACUUUAAGUGGCUUUACUUUCAAAUAGGACCAAGCCUCAAAGGCUGUGUGAAGCAUCGCGGUUACAAUUUAACAGCUAUUGAAAAAUAAAACAGUGUUUGUUUCAGACAAGACUAAAAAGAAAUUGACACCCAGGCAUUUUAUGUUUGUGUUUUUAUUGAACAAGCCCCUACAUAUCGAAAGGGUUGUUGACAUUGUCGGAUGACAUGCCGGCAGUCGAUGCUUCUGCGUUGCUGGAGUUUAGCGGUACCUCUCAGACAGAGCCCAAGCCAGGCUCUGCAGGAACUUGUCAAUUGAGACGUGGACCUCUGGAGUGAAGUCUGC